CUCCGGAGUACUUGGGCAACUGAGACAGGCACCAACACGAUGACCCGUUGUAACACAGCCCUUUUGAUCUUUUACCUCAGAGGAGGAGAAAUUGUGAGCUACCUUGUAAUUAUUUCCCAAGUGCUUCAAAUCUACGUCUUGGGAUUCUCUAUAGAGCAUAAGUUUCUUAAGGGCAGGGACCUACCUUGAAUGCCCCCCGUCCCUCCAGGUUCAGAAGAUGCUGCAGACGUUGUAUCCUUUGCGCUGAAUGAGUGAAGAAAUCCCAUGAAAAACAAGAUGGCGCUGGCAUCCAGCGGGCGCUGGCAUCCAGCGGGCGCUGCCGUCCAGCAGGCACAGUGCCUGCUGCCCAUUCGUUCUCACACCUUGCUGCCCCUCUUGCCCCUGUGAAGCUUGGUCUGAAACAAGUCUCUACACAGUCAGAGGUUCAUUUAGACGCCCUGAAAUCACUCACUCGACUCCGGCGUCAACAGCUCCUGCAGUUCCUGCCAAUCCACCCACUGUGUCCCCCAGAGAGAUGGCGCAUCCUCGGCCUUCCGCUGUCUUCCAGCCCUCACUGACCCUCCACCCGAUUUCUCCUGAGCACUCCCUUGCCUCUGGUUCAUCCUCACCUAGGUCUUCAAAGAGAUGGAUGCCUUGCUUGACAAGAAGAGUUUUCAGCCAGGCAAGUGGCUGGAAUGCUGUCUGGCCUGUAUGCUGGUUAGAAGGCUGCAGCAGACGUCAGCAUAUCCAGGUUACAUUUCGGGUUCCUGCUAACUGCGACGUGCAGCAUUUGUCCUCCAAUCAUUCGUGGACCCCAUAACAGAAUCAACUAAGCCAGAGCACAAAUCUAUUUAUGAGAUUCUGCAUUCAACUCUCCAGCUUGCUUUCUCUAACACAGGAUAAAUCCCUUCACAGUGAUAAAAAUGGUGCCAGGUAAGCUCAGGUCCCCACCCAGCUAUGAAUGAUUUCAUGACAAAGCAGCAUCUAAUCUAUUUAUUUCUGUGAAGAGCCGUAAUCCCCUGUGAGGGCUUCCCUGGUGGCUCAGAUGGUACAGAAACCACCUGCAAUGUGAGAGACCUGGGUUCAAUCCCUGGAUCAGGAAGAUCCCCUGGAGAAGGGCAUGGCAACACACUCCAGUAUUCUUACCUGGAGAAUCCCAUGGACAGAAGAGCCUGGUGGGCUACACAGUUCAUGGGGUUGCAAAGAGUCAGGCACGACUGGGCAGCCAACACACUCACACACAAUCCCCUGUGAACUCAGUUACACUCUAGAGAAAUAGAUGGCAUGGUGUGUGUAUGUGUUUAACACUUGGGUGGUAUUUGGAUGUUUCUCACAAUACUCAUAAACUCUAACACCAUGAAUGAACAAGCUCCUCUCUCAAGAGGACCCAUGAAUUGCGCCCGUGUAUUCUUCAGCAUGUUUAACUUUUCUGGUAUUCAUAUUUAUGCUUUGGUUUAUAAUGUGAGAUAUAGUAAAAAUCAAGAAUCACUAGAAUGAUUUCUCAACAAAAACCAUUCCUCCAAAGAAGGUUUGGUCUAUGUGUGUGGUGGGAGAGCAAGGGGAUGUCCUGCAAGGGGAAGGUGUACAGCUGAGGUCACUUCAUUUGUCACACUCUAAUAUGGCUCACAGACCCCACAGUGCUAUCGAACCGAGCUCUGGACCAGAAAUCCUGCAACAUGGCUCAGAAGGAGGUGGGUUUCACAGCACCCUUA
ensembl:lncRNA